CCUACGGGAGGCAGCAGUGAGGGAUAUUGCGCAAUGGGCGAAAGCCUGACGCAGCGACGCCGCGUGGGCGAGGAAGGCCUUCGGGUUGUAAAGCCCUUUUGGCAGGGAAGAGCAAGGACUGUACCUGCAGAACAAGUCACGGCUAACUACGUGCCAGCAGCCGCGGUAAAACGUAGGUGGCGAGCGUUAUCCGGAAUCACUGGGCGUAAAGAGCGCGUAGGCGGUUUGAUAAGUCAUGGGUGAAAGCCCUCAGCUCAACUGAGUUUACGCCCAUGAAACUGUCUGACUUGAGUUUAGGAGAGGAGAGCGGAAUUCCCAGUGUAGCGGUGAAAUGCGUAGAUAUUGGGAGGAACACCGGUGGCGAAGGCGGCUCUCUGGACUAAUACUGACGCUGAGGCGCGAAAGCUAGGGGAGCAAACGGGAUUAGAUCCCCCUGUAGU
rnacentral:rRNA from 1 species